rnacentral:rRNA from 1 species
CAAUACAAAGGGCAGCUAAACCGCGAGGUCAAGCAAAUCCCAUAAAGUUGUUCUCAGUUCGGAUUGUAGUCUGCAACUCGACUAUAUGAAGCUGGAAUCGCUAGUAAUCGCGCAUCAGCCAUGGCGCGGUGAAUACGUUCCCGGGCCUUGUACACACCGCCCGUCACACCAUGGGAGUUUGUUGCACCAGAAGUAGGUAGUCUAACUGUAAGGAGGACGCUUACCACGGUGUGGCAGAUGACUGGGGUGAAGUCGGAACAAGGUAGC